GAUGAACGCUGGCGGCGUGCCUAAUACAUGCAAGUCGAGCGAACGGACGAGAAGCUUGCUUUUCUGGUGUUAGCGGCGGACGGGUGAGUAACACGUGGAUAACCUACCUAUAAGACUGGGAUAACUUCGGGAAACCGGAGCUAAUACCGGAUAAUAUUUUGAACCGCAUGGUUCAAAAGUGAAAGACGGUCUUGCUGUCACUUAUAGAUGGAUCCGCGCUGCAUUAGCUAGUUGGUAAGGUAACGGCUUACCAAGGCAACGAUGCAUAGCCGACCUGAGAGGGUGAUCGGCCACACUGGAACUGAGACACGGUCCAGACUCCUACGGGAGGCAGCAGUAGGGAAUCUUCCGCAAUGGGCGAAAGCCUGACGGAGCAACGCCGCGUGAGUGAUGAAGGUCUUCGGAUCGUAAAACUCUGUUAUUAGGGAAGAACAUAUGUGUAAGUAACUGUGCACAUCUUGACGGUACCUAACCAGAAAGCCACGGCUAACUACGUG
rnacentral:rRNA from 1 species